rnacentral:tRNA from 1 species
GCUUAUAAUAGUUUAAUUAAAACAGUAAUUUUGUAAAUUACAAAUAAUUGAUUUCAAUUUAUUAGCA